UAGAAACAAGAAAAAGCAGGAGAUGACAAACCCCUGAGGAAGAAAAGCAAACAAAGUUGCAAGAGGUUAAACAAAAGAUAAGAGCUACAUAACAGAAAAGAUGCUCUCAAAAUACAUGUCAAGGACAGCAAAAUAAAUAGGAUCUUGACCCCUGAAGUCACU
rnacentral:lncRNA from 1 species